rnacentral:tRNA from 1 species
GCCGGAGUGGCGGAAUGGCAGACGCAGGGGACUCAAAAUCCCCCGAUCGCAAGGUCGUGCGGGUUCGACUCCCGCCUCCGGCACCA